AAAUCAUAUUGCGGACAUGAACUGACAAGAUCCUUGAACCACUCCCAACAUUAGAAGAAUAUUUCAUAUUCCUUUUGGGUGAAGUUCAUGAUUAACUUUCUGAAGGU